AACGAACGCUGGCGGCAUGCCUAACACAUGCAAGUCGAACGAGACCUUCGGGUCUAGUGGCGCACGGGUGCGUAACGCGUGGGAACCUGCCCUUAGGUUCGGAAUAACUCACCGAAAGGGGUGCUAAUACCGGAUAAUGUCUUAGGACCAAAGAUUUAUCGCCUUUGGAUGGGCCCGGGUUGGAUUAGCUAGUUGGUAGGGUAAAAGCCUACCAAGGCGACGAUCCAUAGCUGGUCUGAGAGGAUGACCAGCCACACUGGGACUGAGACACGGCCCAGACCCGGACGGGAGGGAGCAGUGGGGAAUAUAGGGCGAUGGGCGAAAGCCUGGUCCCGCAAUGCCGCGUGUGUGAUGAAGGCGUUAGGGUUGUAAAGCUCUUUUACCCGGGAUGAUAAUGACAGUACCGGGAGAAUAAGCUCCGGCUAACUCCGUG
rnacentral:rRNA from 1 species